UCCCCGGCAGUCCACUGGUUAAGCCUCUGCACUUCCAAUGCAGGGGCCUAGGUUCGGUUCCUGGUUGGGGAG
rfam:Ovis aries breed Texel chromosome 8, whole genome shotgun sequence.